GAAACGCGAUAGUUAAUGUGAAUUGCAGAAUUCAGUGAAUCAUCGAGUCUUUGAACGCACAUUGCGCCCAUAGGUAUUCCUUUGGGCAUGUCUGUUUGAGCGUCAUUACAACCCUCAGCUAACCGCUGGUUUUGAACCUGAACGGGUGACACCGCGCCGGUUUUAAAGUUGUAAGCUCUGCUGGCCGCUCUGCCCAACCAGAACAUAGUAAGCACUACUUGUCCGGGUGAAGCUAAACGGUACGGCCUGAACAAAACCUACCCACUCUCAAGGUUUGACCUCAGAUCAGACAAGGCUACCCGCUGAACUUAAGC
rnacentral:misc_RNA from 1 species